rnacentral:rRNA from 1 species
AGCGAACGCUGGCGGCAGGCUUAACACAUGCCAGUCGAGCGGGCAUCCUUGUGGUGUCAGCGGCAGACGGGUGAGUAACGCGUGGGAACGUGCCCUUCGGUUCGGAAUAACUCAGGGAAACUUGAGCUAAUACCGGAUACGUGCGAGAGCAGAAAGGUUUAUCUGCCGAAGGAUCGGCCCGCGUCUGAUUAGCUAGUUGGUGAGGUUAUGGCUCACCAAGGCGACGAUCAGUAGCUGGUCUGAGAGGAUGAUCAGCCACACUGGGACUGAGACACGGCCCAGACUCCUACGGGAGGCAGCAGUGGGGAAUAUUGGACAAUGGGGGCAACCCUGAUCCAGCCAUGCCGCGUGAGUGAUGACGGCCUUAGGGUUGUAAAGCUCUUUUCUCCGGGACGAUAAUGACGGUACCGGAGGAAUAAGCCCCGGCUAACUUCGU